rnacentral:misc_RNA from 1 species
CCGAGUUUACAACUCCCAAACCCCCUGUGAACCUAUACCAUUACUGUUGCUUCGGCGGGUCAUUGCCCCGGGGAAAGGACGAGGUGCCGCCUAGGCUCCCCGGCCCGCCCCCGGAAACAGGCGCCUGCCGGGGGAAUCAAACUCUUCUGUAUUUCUUUAUCUAAUAUAUACUGUCUGAGUAAAAACUAAAAUGAAUCA